rnacentral:rRNA from 1 species
CCCUUAGUAACUGCGAGUGAAGCGGGAAAAGCUCAAAUUUAAAAUCUGGCGGUUCUGCCGUCCGAGUUGUAAUUUAGAGAAGUGUUAUCCGCGCUGGACCGUGUACAAGUCUCCUGGAAUGGAGCGUCAUAGAGGGUGAGAAUCCCGUCUUUGACACGGACUCCCAGGGCAUUGUGAUGCGCUCUCAAAGAGUCGAGUUGUUUGGGAUUGCAGCUCAAAAUGGGUGGUAAAUUCCAUCUAAAGCUAAAUAUUGGGGAGAGACCGAUAGCGAACAAGUACCGUGAGGGAAAGAUGAAAAGAACUUUGGAAAGAGAGUUAAACAGUACGUGAAAUUGCUGAAAGGGAAACGCUUGAAGUCAGUCGCGUUGUUCGGGAUUCAACUUUAGCUUCUGCUGGGUGGAUUUCCUGUUCGACGGGUCAGCAUCAGUUUUGGCCGGUGGAUAAAGGUCCAGAGAAUGUGGCAUCUUCGGAUGUGUUAUAGCUCUGGGUCGCAUACAUCGGCUGGGACUGAGGAACUCAGCACGCCGCAAGGCCAGGUUCGACC